GUGAGGAAUCUUCCGCAAUGGACGAAAGUCUGACGGAGCAACGCCGCGUGAGUGAAGAAGGUUUUCGGAUCGUAAAGCUCUUUCGUCAGGGACGAACGUAUUUCUUGUAAAUAAUGAGAGAUAGUGACGGUACCUGAAUAAGAAGCCACGGCUAACUACGUGCCAGCAGCCGCGGUAAUACGUAGGUGGCAAGCGUUGUCCGGAAUUAUUGGGCGUAAAGCGCGCGCAGGCGGGAUAUCAAGUCUGUCUUAAAAGUGCGAGGCUCAACCUCGUGAGGGGACAGAAACUGGUAUUCUUGAGUGUCGGAGAGGAAAGUGGAAUUCCAAGUGUAGCGGUGAAAUGCGUAGAGAUUUGGAAGAACACCAGUGGCGAAGGCGACUUUCUGGACGAUGUCUGACGCUGAGGCGCGAAAGCUAGGGGAGCGAACGGGAUUAGAAACCCCUGUAGUCC
rnacentral:rRNA from 1 species